UAUCCAGCAGCCGCGUCUCAGGAGGAUCAUUUAACCGAAAUAAUUGCCAAACAUUGUUUACCUUGUUAGCCGUUAGAAGCUAGCUCGUAAACUUGUGCGAGUUAAUAAGCAGAAGCAAGCAAGCAAGCAGCCAGCCAGGUCGGCGGAGCCAAGCAAGCUUGAGUGCGAAACCGUGUGUAAAUUAGCGUCUUCAAUUUGUAACCAUUCGCUUGACUUUACUCCGCAGUUCCGAGUGGCUUCGCGAGAGACGAGAGCCGGGAUAACGAGAUACUCGCGCAACUGAAACGCAGUGAAACAUCCGGAAAAUUAUAUAUUUUUACGCUAGAGAGAUUGAUAGAGAGAACGGAGAAUCUUUUUGUGAAAAUUGCAUCUAUAUGAGCAUACAUCCAGUAAUUAGGUCCAAGUACAUUAAAUUUCGUAUUAUGAAGUACACAAAUUAAUAAAGUGCAUAGGAAAGUUUGUUUCAUUCAAGUAGCAAACGCUGUUCAGACUAUUGUGUACGAAUCCUCGCAACAACUGUACAAAAGUCAACAGCCAUACUCCAAGAACCCAUAAAACCAAAUCAUCGUGGAAAUCCGUGCAGCAAGUGCACACCACAGUGGAUCACCCUCACUCCAAAGCUAACCUCUUCUUCUAUAUACCUGUAUCUCAUCUUUCGCUCUAUCUCUCUGUACAUGAUCGAAGAUCGUGGCAGUUGGAAGCAUGCGGAUGUCGGAGAGAAGAAAGGAGAGACAGCUAGCUAGAAUGCAGACGAAGGGAAAGCGGAAAGAGGAGAAGGAGGAACGAGAGGCUGCCGGUUCAGCUGCAUUAAUUAAACUAGCGGAGGACAAUGAGCCUGUCUGCCGGCUCGCUUGCCUCGCUGUGUAAUUCACGCCUCUCACGGGAGAGGCAACCCUUCGACUUUGCUUUCCAGUUUCAACCUUCCUAUGGAUAAUUACCUACGCCCAGAGUCUCGUCUCUCUGUGUCCCACCUUCUCUCGUUCAUUCUCUCGUUUGUAUGUUGUUUUCUUUCGUUUUUACAUCCGUGACUUUCCAGUUCUUUUGCGACACGCGUUGCGCGUGACCGAGCGUGCUAUUGCACCAUGAUGUGAACUUGUCGUCUUUGGAUAAGUUGAUUAAUUUGAAUGAAGUGAACUGAAAGCGACAUCGAGAUGUUUCGAGUUUAGCAACUGUAUUGAUGGAAAUAUUCUGAGGAGGGUUUUCGACAUUGAUGAGAAAGGGUUUGUUAAAAAAUGCGAAAAGGUUAAAUACGUGAUCUUCUUAAAUUUCUAAAUAAAUAUUUCAAUUUGUAUUAUAUCAUAAAUAAUGCAUUUCAAUUGAUGUCAUGUUCAUUAUUUAGUUAUGUACAAAAGUUUACAACUAAGCAAAUAAUUGUGAGAGUAAGACAUUGAGAAAUAGAUUAUCUGAGACAAUAAUGUUUAUUUAUUGAUUGCAAAUUUGUCCUAUAUAUGACAUUUAAAAAAGAUAAUUAAUUCCAUUAACUGGAAGGAACAUAAUAACAGUGGUACAUAGUAAGUAAAAGUCUUGGUAAGGAUGUAUAUUGACAAAUCUGUUCAAAAUUGGAUAACGAAUAAACAUACUAACAAAUAAGAAAUAGUUUAUAUAGUAAAGUAACAAAUAUUUUAUUUGGUUCCAAAUAAAUUAAUUUUAUUUGCGUAUAAAAUGCUGCAUGAAAUAUUUACGUUAUUUUAAAAAUAGAAUAAUUAUUAGAAAAAUAGAAAAUUUCUAUUCCAUAUAUAGACCGACGUUUCAGUCAGUCUCCUAGUCAGAAAUCAAGCUGAAACAGCACCUAAGUACAAGUGCAGCUAGAAAAUUAACGAAAUGCAGCUUUAAAGCACCGAAACCUCAGAAGAAGGCAACAAAUCCGCAUCAGUUUCCCUCAGCCAAGAACAUGCAGGAGGGAGGGAGAAUUUAAGCAUCUUUGGAAGGUGAACUGCAGCUGCUUACUUCAGAGUUGAGAACCACGAUCUGUUGCGCUCGUCGUCAACCAAGGUGGAGUCGGACGAAUCAAAGAGAGAAAAGACGAAGAGGAACGUAGAAGCAGAAGACGAUCCCCAGCCGCCUCUGUGUGCCCCUUGAGAAUCGGCUCGUUAGGAGGUUAGACGGAGAAGAAUGCUGCCAAACGAUCGACUGAUCCUUCUCUUUCUUGUUUCUUCUAUCUAUCUUCUUCGUGACUAUUUCGAGAAAAAGUUUCGAGGAUUUUGCGGACACUCUAACUUCUCUCUGUUUCUACUUCGCGAGAUUCCGAGAACACGGAAAGAUGGAAAUUGGUAGAAAUCCUGGUUGUGUACACCUAGUGAGUGAAAUGUAUAUCAACUUCUUAGAACACAGGGUUUAAAAAACCGAAAAGUCUCUAGUUGUACUGAAAUUUUAUUUCAAAUUUCUACCACUUUGGAGAGAAUUAUGAACACCUACUAACCAAAUUAAUACGUACUUUUUCUUGUGCAUCACGCGUGUUAGUCAUAUCAGUGGCAACACGAAACCGGUGGAACAUAUUGUAAACCGUUGUACUUCGAGAUGUGUUCAUAUUUUAAGGUAGGAUCAAAGAUAUUCUACUGUGCAUAUAUGUAAGCACCAAGAAGGCGGGAAGUUUUUUAUUUUACUAUGUCCCAAAGAAUGUUAAUACAUUCAGUGCAUAUACAAAAUGUAAACUAAAUUAACCUAAUUUAGCAAGAAAGCGAUUAAUACAAUAAAAUUUGUAUUUAACAAGAUUAUAAUUUAAUAUGCAUACAUAAGAAAAGUUUGUUGAAACUAUUUACAAGGAUUAUAAUAUAUAGUAUAGUUAAUUAUAACAAUUACAUAUUGGUUUCAAAGUUUGUUAACCUAUGUAAAUCUUAUUGAAAACAUUUACGAUAUUUGUAUGAUAUUGAUAUAACGCCUACUAAUCAAGUAGUAAUCAAGAAUAUCUUCUAAAUAUAUAAAUAGAUAAAUAAAUAUAUAUAUAUUUACAUUAUAUUUAAAUGAAGAGUUAGAAUGACCUCAAAAUCAGCUAAUCGAAUUCAUACGCUUUUCCGAUUCAGCAAUUUCUGAGGACGAACAAGUUUCAACCAACUGUCCAGGCUCGCAUGAUGUCAAUUUGUAACUGAUAUACUUAGAAUACAUUAGUAUAAUAUAUAUACAAUACAAUAGAAAUAUAUAGGUACCACCUAUGCACUAAAAAUUACCCGGAUUAAAUUUCGGAUUCGUUUGCAAACAUAUGUUUACAUGCAUGUGAAAUAGGGAUCUCUACAGAUUACAUUACAUUACUAGCUUGACAUAUUUUGUAAGAUUAGGGUUGUUGGAUUGAGAUUUCUUUGAUUUCUAAAGGAACUUGUAGACAGUAACGAUUGGUUGACAUGUUAUCAAUUGAAGAGUACAUGAUAAAUAUAUUUUUGUUGAUUUUUUAAUUUUGAUGUUGCUUGUAAUUAGUAACUAAGAUAGUUAGAAGGCAAUAUAAGCUUUUUAAAGAUAGAUAAAUCUAUGAAAUUUUGUUUAAUUAAUAAAUUUUAUCAUGUGCUUUUCAAUUGUUACUGAUUAUCAUUGGCUGACUUCACAUGUCGAUUAAUCGUUAACGUCUAAAAGUUCCAACCUGAAUAAAUUUCGAUCUGACAACUAAUAAACUAAUGUAUUUAAUGUUUAAUAUUAUCAUGUUUUUUCCCCUGCACUUUUUAAUUGUGACCGAAAAAAUUGUAAGGAGUUAGAAAUAACAAUAUAAACCAAUUGACAUUGAUUUUAGUACUUAAAAUUGAUAUACUCAACGAUAA